AAACACAUAGGUUUGGUCCUGGCCUUUCUAUUAAUUAGUAGUAAAUUUACACAUGUAAGAAUCCCCGAUCCAGUGAGAAUGCCCUCUAAGUCAACCGACUAAAAGGAGCUGACAUCAAGCACACUAAACAGUAGCUCACAACGUCUUGCUCAACCACACCCCCACGGGUUACAGCAGUGAUAAAAAUUAAGCAAUAAACGAAAGUUUGACUAAGUUAUACUACUAAGGAUUGGUAAAUUUCGUGCCAGCCACCGCGGUCAUACGAUUAAUCCAAAUUAAUAGACUACGGCGUAAAGUGUGUUUAUGAGAAGAUUGCAAUAAAGUCAAAUACAGCCCAAGCUGUAAAAUGCCACAGGCCCACUAAGAACAAUGACGAAAGUAACUUUAUAAACUCAGACUACACGACAAUUAAGACCCAAACUGGGAUUAGAUACCCCACUAUGCUUAAUUGUAAACCCAGGUAAUUAAAUAACAAAAUUACUCGCCAGAGAACUACGUGCCACAGCCCAAAACUCAAAGGACUUGGCGGUGCUUUAUAUCCAUCUAGAGGAGCCUGUCCUGUAAUCGAUAAACCCCGAUAUACCUCACCAUCCCUUGCUAAUUCAGCCUAUAUACCGCCAUCUUCAGCAAACCCUAAAAAGGACGACAAGUAAGCUCAAUCAUCCUACAUAAAAAAGUUAGGUCAAGGUGUAGCCUAUGGGGUGGGAAGUUAUGGGCUACAUUUUCUAGUCCAGAAUACAACGCCAACUCACAUGAAACUAUGAGUCUAAGGAGGAUUUAGCAGUAAGUCGGAAAUAGAGAGUCCGACUGAAUUAGGCCAUAAAGCACGCACACACCGCCCGUCACCCUCCUCAACUACUACUAAUCACAACUACAUAAUUACCCAUAUACACACAAGAGGAGAUAAGUCGUAACAAGGUAAGUGUACUGGAAAGUGCACUUGGAAUAAAACCAAA
rfam:Tupaia chinensis contig220314, whole genome shotgun sequence.